UACGGAGGGUGCAAGCGUUAUCCGGAUUUACUGGGUUUAAAGGGUGCGUAGGCGGAUAGGUAAGUCGAGGGUGAAAUCUUCGAGCUUAACUCGGAAAUUGCCUUUGAUACUAUCUAUCUUGAAUAUUGUGGAGGUAAGCGGAAUAUGUCAUGUAGCGGUGAAAUGCUUAGAGAUGACAUAGAACACCUAUUGCGAAGGCAGCUUACUACGCAUAUAUUGACGCUGAGGCACGAAAGCGUGGGGAUCAAACAGG
rnacentral:rRNA from 1 species